rnacentral:rRNA from 1 species
UACGUAGGUGGCAAGCGUUGUCCGGAAUCAUUGGGCGUAAAGAGCUCGUAGGCGGUCUGUCGCGUCUGCUGUGAAAAUCCAGGGCUCAACCCUGGACCUGCAGUGGGUACGGGCAGACUAGAGUGCGGUAGGGGAGAUCGGAAUUCCUGGUGUAGCGGUGAAAUGCGCAGAUAUCAGGGAGAACACCGGUGGCGAAGGCGGAUCUGCGUGGGCCGUAACUGACGCUGAGGAGCGAAAGCAUGGGGAGCGAACAGG